CCCAGCUCGGUGAACACACGUUCGUUCGGUCGUGUAGGUCGGUUUUCUUCGUCUGCAUCGAUUCUUCGGGGAUUCUCAAGUAGCAGCAAUCGAUCGUCGUUCUGAUCAACCCACCCCGCGCGUCGUUGAUCCAGGUCCAGAACAUCGAUACUCGUAUCAUCGGCCACCAGUUCCAGCAGAAGUUGUGUCCAGGCAGGAAGCAAAUCUUGGAGGUUCCUCGGAGGUGGCUUUGCGAUAACAGCAGAUCUUUAGCAGUUUGGAGAAACGUGUUCCACAAGAGGCCUUCCUCUUCUAGAAGCACCGUGGUAGGACCGUGUUCUUGCGGGAAGUUUCGCGUUGUUGCCAGAACCGAAAAUCGAUUUCUCGGUCGGUUCUCUGCGGUGAAACAAAAAAUAAACAAGUGUUUUGUGGUGGAAAUUUGCUCACGUUUCACGGUUCGGUGCCGCUUCAACAGAGCCCGUCAAGGAAAAGAGUUGUUGUGCAUUUGUGCAAAAGUAGAAAAAAAAGUGAAUCAGUGGAAAAAAUUUCAAGUGUCUGUCGUUGCACACACACAGAGUGUGAGUUGAAGCAAAUCGAAAAAUUAAUACCCAUUCGCCGCUUAGUGAAAUCAUUAAAGUGAGCGAGCGUGAGUUGUAGAGUAAAACCAAGAAAAUACGUGGAAUUGUACGUGUUGUGUCGUCAGUCAGACGUGUACACACACCUUGGCAACACCUUUUUUUCGCGGGUGGUGAAAUACGAAAAUUUUGCAUUAUUUGGAGUACCAGCAGCAGCCAGGUCUUCGGCGUCAUACAAGGAACAAAAAAUCAAAUAGAAACACACCACCAGAACCAGUGAUCGUAGUACAACUUAGCGUUUAGUCAAUAGCAAACAUCCCACUGAUUUAAGGCUUUACAAUAACCUAAAAAAAGGCAAAACCCAUCACUACCGUAAAUCUGUUCCCGAGAGCUUGAGAUAUACUACACAAUUUGGAACCAGUUCAGCACCGCGCAGACAUCGACCUAAUCACUGGCCAGCACCAGUUGAGACUCCGGCAGACACACCCCCAAAAAAUACAACAUCCCUUAGCCCACAAAAUGAAUUGAUCUCGUUCGCACGUAGAAUCCCAGCAGAAAGCGAGGGUGUUGUAGAACACUUUCAUACGAGUUGCUCAAAAGCACAGGGCGGAAGGGACUGACAAGGAGAACGGAUUACCACCACCACCACCGGCUUCACCAUGGUUGACUACUACAAAACCCUGGACGUGGCGAGGACGGCCACGGAGGCAGAAAUCAAAAAAGCAUACAAAAAACUAGCGCUACGAUGGCACCCGGAUAAAAAUCCAGACAACCCAGAGGAAUCAAACAGACGGUUCAAAGAGAUCUCAGAGGCGUACGAAGUUUUAUCAGAUG